UUUGUUCGUUCGGCUCGCGUUAA
rnacentral:ncRNA from 3 species